UUAAUCAGAUGCGCUCCCGGCCACUGAUCUAUGCUCGUGACGUGUUCUUUUAUAAUUAACAUUGGCUGAUAGAAAUGUUUUAAAAAAUAGUAUUUUAGAUGGUAAUAAGAUCAAGACCCUCAUUGACGUCAUGAUCUAUUCUGUCAUGAACCGCUCAAAAUUGUGGACAAGCCAGUUCUACCGUAAAAUAACCUCUGAAUCGUUUUAUAUAUAUAAUAACCUUUUAUCUCACAACUGUUGUAAUUAAGGCUUUGGUGAAUUGUGCUUCUAAAAUGGAAGGCUAGCCUACAUCCUAAAAUUCAAUUGAUCAGUACCGACUCGUUUUCUUUCUGUUUUGUUUUUUCUUUUCUUUUUUCGUUAAUUUAAAUGUGUGCAGCUUUUGUCGGAUGUAGCCUUCCGUUUGAGAGACUCCCAUUGAUAAGCUUUGUUGAACUGAAAAAUACUCUGAAUGAGGAGUCGACUCCCCUUGAUGGAAUCGAAUCCAACCUUUGGAAUCGACUCUCGAUUCCCAACGCCCCGGAAUCGAGGAAACGAUUCUUUUUGGAAUCGACUCCCAGCCCUAAUAAUAAGUAGGUUGAGGAUUGGACAUUGACAAGACUCUUCAUGUGCUAGGAAAACAUCGAACAGGAUAAUGUGAUGAAUGCCAGGAGGAAGAAACAAUUAAACACAUCUUUAUAUCAUCCGAGAAAUUUAUACAAGAAAGGCAAGAGUUGAAGGAUCAGCUAAGGGAAAUAGAUAUAGAAGAAUAUAAUGUAAAAAGUAUAGUAGGAUGUGCAAGUGGUGACCAAGGAAGGACAUUAGUGUUUAAUUUCUUAAGGAGGACUGGACUGGAAGGAUAAAUAUAAUGAAUGAAUACUAAGGUCAAGUGAAAACAGCAGGUGGCAGUAAUGCAACAUUAUAGGUGGCAGCUGCUGUAAAACAUUGAAGAAGAGGACUUUUAUUUUGGUAUGAUGUUGUGACGUCAUACGUCUGCGCCACACUUCUGCAUCUGUUGCUUCUGCUGAAGGCACAGGGCUUGCUGGAAAUGCAAAAACGUCUUAUUGGUGUGCUCAUAAAAAAAGGAAGACAAAAUGUGUACGUGACCUACUCCUUAACCGAGAAGAGCAGGGAAACCAUCAUCAUUUGGUUCAAGAACUUUACAACGACCGUCUCAGGUUCAAGAGCUACUUCAUGCUAACCCUUGAACUUUUUGAACUACUUCAUGAGAAGGUGCCAACACGGACAGACACAAACAUGAGGAAACCCAUCCGUUCAAAGGAGCGGUUCUCCAUCUGUCUCAGGUUUCUGGCAACUGGAGACUCAUUUGUGAACAUAGCUUUCAGCCACAGAGUGGGAACUUCAACCGUAGCAACAAUCGUGGAUGAGGUCACCAGGUUAAACUGGGAUGUGUUGGUGAACGAAUAUAUGCCAGAACCAGAAACACAAGAUUGGGUGGAAGUGGAACUUUCCAGACUUCACUGGAGCUAUUGAUGGCAAGCAUGUUGUGUUACAAGCUCCACCAAACUCUGGAUCAUUACAUUUCAACUAUAAGGGAACGCGCUCUAUUGUCCUCCUGGUGUUAGUUGAUGCACAUUAUCUGUUUCAUGCUAUUGAUGUUGGAGCUUUCGGAUGAAACAGUGAUGGAGGAGUAUUUUCCUGUUCCUCUUUGGGGAAAAGAUUGAAAGAGGAAAAACUUGGCAUUCCAGUGGACAGAAAGCCUUGGGCCUAUGCCACAUGUCUUUGUUGUAGAUGAAGCUUUCCCGCUGCAAAAUAAAUCUGAUGAGGCUCUUUCCAGUAGUGGAUAAUGUCUUUAGCAUACUCUCCAAUCAGUGGCGAGUCUAUAGGCGGGUGAUGGCUCUUACACCUGAGAAAGCAGAGGCCAUUGUGAAAGCCACAUGCAUUUUGCACCAUUUUUGCUUCUGAAUCCGUAAUUGUUUCAAAUCGCUUGAUUCACCGCACGCUGAUGACACGCGCUGAUGGAUAAAACAGUGUAAAUACUAGGGGUGCGACGAUAUAUCGAUUCGUGGAUCGAUUCUGGGAUUUUCCAAAUGCAUCACAAUUCUCUCUGGAAUCUAUUCUGAGCUUAGUUUUUAACAGCAGAUGGCGCUCUAGGCUAGUUUUUAAACUGCAUACUCAAAUGCUCAUGAAGAAGACUGCUUUUGCGUUCGGCUGAGUAAUGUAAGUGUUUAAAUGUACUUGCACCUUUGCUUUUAUGACACAAGAAUAAUGUAAACAGCCCACUGUGAACAUCCUUGUAAUUCGCUUCAACCUUUUAGAACUGUGUGAAGGAUUAUUUUAUGUUCAAGGGGUAUGUAUAAGGAACAGAGUACAACUGUUUCUAAAGCAUACAGUGCCAUCUGCUGUUAAAAACUAAGCUCUGCAUCGACUCCAGAGAAAAUCCCGAUGCAUUCAGAAAAUCACAGAAUCAAUCCACAAAUCGAUUUAUCGUCACACCCCUAGUAAAUGACAACUUUUACAAAUAAAUAGUUUUGAUCAAAGUGCAAUCUGUUAGAUGUGAUCUACAAACAAUUACAAUACAAAUGUAAACCAUAAACACAUAAAUGUCUAAAUAUUAAAUAAUUUCAUAUUUAUUUGUUUUGCCAGUUUUUAGUUUUGUCUAAUCAGGGCCUGGUUUCACAGACAGGGCUUAGGUUAGGCCAGGAUUAAGACCAAUUAUUUAAGUUGUUUUUUUAUAAACAUGCCUAAGAAAAAAAAAACACCUUUACUGGUAGUGAGCAUCUUGAGACAAAACAAAGACACUGACAUAUUGUAAGAUCAGUCAGUGCAAGUUUCUUUCAGCUGGAACAGCUCAAACAUUAAUUUGAGGGUCUCUCCACACUGGUAGUGAUGUGAAAAAGUGAAACAAAUGUCUGGCGAAUUGAGUAUUCACAUCAACGGCGAAACAAAUGUCUUCAAUUUGACGCCUAAACGGCAGGUGGUGCUGACCGAGACGUAUUCGGUGCCUCAACACAAGGUGCCGCACUCCAUUUUAUUCAUCGUGUCUGAUAUUUGUUUCACUUUUUUUGCGCUUAGUGUGGAAAGGCCUUUACUAGACUUGAGCCUUGUCUGUGAAUCUGGGGGUUUGUCAUUUAAGGACAUUAAAGGGGUAGUUCACCCAAAAAUGAAAAUUUGAUGUUUAUCUGCUUACUCCCAGAGAAUCCAAGAUGUAGGUGACCUUGUUUCUUCAGUAGAACACAAAUUAUG